UAGUCAUAUGCUUGUCUCAAAGAUUAAGCCAUGCAUGUCUAAGAUCGCUCUGAACCGCAAGGUUUACCGGCAAUCUGCGAAAGGCUCAUUAUAACAGUUACAAACUUAGCCACUAGUUUCCUUUAUAAGGAUAACACAGCCAACUGCAGCGAUAAUACUUGCACAAACGUUAACGAAUUGAAUAGUUAACAAGUGAUAGCACUAAGGGAACAUGUGCUAUCUACCUCGCAAGAGGUGUUGACCACGGCAACGUGGCCUAGAGGAAGUAUUUCUUCCUUAUCAGUUAGUUGUUUCAGUAAGGGUGAAACAAGACAGUUACGGGUACGGGGAAUCAGUGUUCGAUUCCGGAGAGGGAGCCUGAGAAAUGGCUACUACAUCUAAGGAGGGCAGCAGGCGCGAAAAUUACCCAAUCCUAACAAUUUUGGGAGGUAGUGACAAGAAAUAACGACCUUACAUAUAAGACUUACGUCGGUGGAAGGGUACCCUUUAUCGGGUUUGCAAUGGUUCUAGUUUAAAUCUCUAGGAGAGUAUCAAUU
rnacentral:rRNA from 1 species